UGUGCGUGUGUGCGCUGUUGGGGGUUUUCCUGGCAGCCCCAGGCUAUGCAAAUGCCGCUUUCCCAGAAGUUUCGGAGUCCCACGGUCCGUAUUUCGAGGGGUGCGCCUGUGGAGUGGGAAACGCGAGCUCUGAGUCAGCGGCGCGGGGAAACCCAGCGCUGCUCGGGCCGUCCCGGUGUUUGCUUCCUAAAUGUGCCUCUGAGUCCCUGCGGAAUCCGUGCUCGGGGGGCGGCAGCUGAUCUUGCUGGUGAUGGUGGUGGUGGUGGGAUCCCGAGCCCCUCUCGCUUUGCCUAAAGCCGGUGUGAAUAACAGCUUCUCUGACAGGGGAUGCUUAGACUUCCACCACUGAGUUUUUGCCGCGUUUCGAAGGAAAAAGAACAGCAAGAAGUGAAAUUGAACCCUUCGCCCUCCGGUUUGCAAUGGGCAUUAAAGUUUAGUUGCUUAAAAGAAUUAUUUACAGGUAAUCUUUAGUCUGCUGUGUUGCUGGAAUUCAGGAAGUUGUGGGUUUGUGUUCAGGAGUGCAUGUGAAGCCUGAAAACCUGAAGAGCAUCUGCUUUUUACACAAACAUCACUCAAGGCUGGCAGCUGAGACACAGCGACCUUGGCUGUGACACGGAGAUCUCCAAAUGGAGCAGAACUCUCGGCCUUCCUGUCAGGCUUCCCUACAAUCUCUGCUGUUAAUCAAACACUGCAAUUGCACCUCUUUAAAGCUUGAUUUUGGUGAAUUUAUUUAACCUUGUGCAUGACAGGAAUUGCGCAGAGCCAAGGAAUGACAUUUACUUGACCCUCAUCUUGGAGGUUUGCUGGAGGAACGUGUCCUUGUCAGUGCACAGAGCUGGCUGGGAGCUCUGGGAGCAACAGAGCAGGGAAAAGUCAGGGGAAAGGGGUGUCUUGUCAACUGCUCUGUCAGUGCCCUCCCUUUGGAAAUACUUCUGGAGCUUAUGUGUUGAAGGUGAAGUAAAUACUAAUAAAGCUGCUGUUAAUUAAAA